rnacentral:rRNA from 1 species
GUGGGUCAAAAAUCAGCCAUGGCAUGGUCUCAGUAUAAGCUUCUAUACGGCGAAACUGGCGAAUGGGCUCAUUAAAACAGUUAUAGUUUAUUUGGUGGUCAGCAAUUACAUGGGAUAACCGUGGUAAUUCUAGAGCUAAUACAUAGCGCCCAAACCCGACUUCGUGGAAGGGUUGUGUUUAUUAGAUACAGAACCAACCCAGGCUCCGCCUGGCCUUGAGGUGAUUCAUAAUAACCGAACGAAUCGCAUGGCUAUGCCGGCGAUAGACCAUUCAAGUUUCUGACCUAUCAGCUAUCGUCGGUAGGGUAUUGGCCUACCGUGGCAAUGACGGGUAACGGAGAAUUAGGGUUCGAUUCCGGAGAGGGGGCCUGAGAAACGGCUACCACAUCUAAGGAAGGCAGCAGGCGCGCAAAUUACCCAAUCCUGACGCAGGGAGGUAGUGACAAGAAAUAACAAUACAGGGCAUACAUGUCUUGUAAUUGGAAUGAGUAAACUUUAAA